CGGCAAGGCUGGGACAGAAGGUAAAGGGAAGAGAGAAGGGUGAAGGAUAGGAAGAAGCCAGAUUAUAAGAAGCCAUGAAGGCAAGGCUGAGAAGUUUGAAUUUUAUCCUGCGAGCAAUGGGAAGCUUCUGAAGGGUUUGAAAGGCAGGAGUACCCAGCGCCCCCAGUGCCUAGCAAAGUGCCUGGCACAGAGCAGUACUCAAAAGAUAUUUGUUGAAUGAAUGAAUGAAUGAAUGAGUGAAAAUUGUGGUAAAUGGAUCUGGAGGUAGAAAGGAGAGAACCUGGGAGCGGACACCAGCCUGGUUGUUGCAAUUUUCCAGGCUAGAAGUCAUGAGCAAGAGCAGCGGCUGGAGCCUGUCGGCAGGCAUCACUGUGCUUCCUGAGCGCCCGUCCCUGUUCUUCGGAGUGAUGCCGCAUGAUCUCAUUCCCUCUUUAUAACAACAAGCAGGUUUCUACUGGUGUCCUUAUCAACUCAUACUAGACUUAUUUGCUUCUGUCCGUCAUCCAUGAGACUGUGCGUUCCCUGCGGGUUGGGUCCGUGUUUCAUUUACCCUCGGUGCCUGCCCCUAGCCCAGGGCAGGAUGUCUUGCUUGAAUGGGAUUGAAGGGCAAUGUGUAAGACUGAGGUAUUGGGGGGCGCCUGGGUGGCUCAGUCGUUGAGCGUCUGCCUCCGGCUCAGGUCAUGAUCCCAGGGUCCUGGGAUCGAGCCCCGCAUCGGGCUCCCUGCUCCGCGGGAAGUCUGCUUCUCCCUCUCCCACUCCCCCUGCUUGUGUUCCUUCUCUCGCUGUGUCUCUCUGUCAAAUAAAUAAAUAAAAUCUUUAAAAAAAAAAAAAAAAGACUGAGGUAUUGGAACGAUGGUCCAGGCCAGCCUGAGACCUUGUAGGAAGCAUCUGAGACACAAUGUGGGC